rnacentral:rRNA from 1 species
UGCCAGCAGCCGCGGUAAUACGAAGGGGGCUAGCGUUGUUCGGAUUUACUGGGCGUAAAGCGCACGUAGGCGGAUUGUUAAGUUAGGGGUGAAAUCCCAGGGCUCAACCCUGGAACUGCCUUUAAUACUGGCAAUCUCGAGUCCGGAAGAGGUGAGUGGAAUUCCGAGUGUAGAGGUGAAAUUCGUAGAUAUUCGGAGGAACACCAGUGGCGAAGGCGGCUCACUGGUCCGGUACUGACGCUGAGGUGCGAAAGCGUGGGGAGCAAACAGGAUUAGAUA